GACGAACGCUGGCGGCGUGCUUAACACAUGCCAGUCGAGCGGUGAAGCGCCUUCCUUUUUGGUGGGUGUGGAUGAGUGGCGAACGGGUGAGUAACACGUGAGUAACCUGCCCCCUUCUUCUGGAUAACCGCAUGAAAGUGUGGCUAAUACGGGAUAUUCUGGGUCUGUCGCAUGAUGGGUCUGGGAAAGAUAUUGUUUCGGUGGGGGAUGGGCUCGCGGCCUAUCAGCUUGUUGGUGGGGUGAUGGCCUACCAAGGCGGUGACGGGUAGCCGGCCUGAGAGGGUGGACGGUCACACUGGGACUGAGACACGGCCCAGACUCCUAUGGGAGGCAGCAGUGGGGAAUAUUGCACAAUGGGCGAAAGCCUGAUGCAGCGACGCCGCGUGAGGGAUGGAGGCCUUCGGGUUGUGAACCUCUUUCGCCAGUGAAGCAGGCCUGCCUCGUUUGUGGGUGGGUUGACGGUAGCUGGAUAAGAAGCGCCGGCUAACUACGUG
rnacentral:rRNA from 1 species